GAUGAACGCUGGCGGCGUGCCUAAUACAUGCAAGUCGAGCGAACAGACGAGGAGCUUGCUCCUCUGACGUUAGCGGCGGACGGGUGAGUAACACGUGGAUAACCUACCUAUAAGACUGGGAUCACUUCGGGAAACCGGAGCAAAUACCGGAUAAUAUAUUGAACCGCAUGGUUCAAUAGUGAAAGACGGCUUUGCUGUCACUUAUAGAUGGAUCCGCGCCGCAUUAGCUUGUAGGUAAGGUUAAGGCUUACCAAGGCAACGAUGCGUUGCCGACCUGAUGGGGGGGUCGGCCACCUGGGAACUGAGACACGGUCCAUACUCCUACGGGAGGCAGCAGUAGGGAAUCUUCCGCAAUGGGCGAAAGCCUGACGGAGCAACGCCGCGUGAGUGAUGAAGGUCUUCGGAUCGUAAAACUCUGUUAUUAGGGAAGAACAAAUGUGUAAGUAACUAUGCACGUCUUGACGGUACCUAAUCAGAAAGCCACGGCUAACUACGUG
rnacentral:rRNA from 1 species